GCAACCUCUGCCUCCUGGGUUCAAGCGCUUCUUCUGCCUCAGCCUCCUAAGUAACUGGGGUUACAACAAUGCUGGCUAAUUUUUUGUUUUGUUUUUUUAACCAUAUGUUGCCUCUUUGGUGAAACGCCUGCUUAUGUCUCCCACCCACUUUUCUGCUGUGCUCUUGUGCUCUUGUGAGUCUCAGCACUAAUCUCUGUCAGGGGUGUGCAUCUUGAAUAGCUGCUUCCAGUUUGUAACUGACUUUUCACUUCCUUUAAGAUGUCUUUCUUUUUUUCUUUUCUUUUCUUACUUUUUUUUUUUUUUUUUUUUUUGAGACAGAUCUCAUUCUGUCCCCCAGGCUGGAGUGCAGUGGCUUGAUCUCAGCUCACUGCAACCUCUGCCUCCUGGAUUCAAGUGAUCCUCCCACCUCAGCCUCCCGAGUAGUUGGGACUACAGGCACGUGCCACCACACUCGGCUAAUUUUUGUAUUUUUAGUAGAGACAGGAUUUUACCAUGUUGGCCAGGCUGGUCUUGAACUCUUGACCUCAGGUGAUCCACCUUCCUCUGCCUCCCAAGGUGCUGGGAUUACAGAUGUGAACCACCGCACCCAGCCAAGAUGUCUUUCAAUGAACCAACAUUCUUAAUUGUAAUAUAGUCAGAUUAAGCAAACUUUUAUGGUCACUGCUUUUUUUUUUUUAAUGUGUGUAUGUUUUCCUUUUAAAGAAAUCUACUGAGAGUUUUAGUUUAUUUUCAACAUUCAAAUUCUUUUCAACUAUUGCAAGUCGAUUUGUAAACAAAUGCGUGCAUGGUGGGUAGUAAUCCCAUUUUACAUACGGGGAGUUAUUUUUUCCAGUUCCUCCUUUCCCCACUGCUCUGUCAUGCCCUGUGGUGUGUGAAUAUGUGCCUGAGCUUUCUGUUCUGUGUGUCAAUUUGUCCCUCCUCCAAUGACACAUUGUCUUGAUUACUGCAGUUUCAUGACAAGUUCUGAACUCUGGUAGGGCAAGUCGUCCCUGCUUGUUUUUCUUUUUCGGAUUUAUCUUGGCUAUUCUUGGAAAAGCACAUUUAACAUCAUGACCCACAAGUACAUAACCACACAAUAAUUUCCAGAACAUCCUUUACCUCAGCGUGGUCUGAUUAUUUUUAUUCUAUUCCGUGUCAUUUAAAAAAAAUGCUAGACAUCAUCUACUAAAUUGAUUUCACACCCCGCUAAUGGAUGGUGAGGCACAGUUUGAAAAACUGCAUUCUUUCAGGACACUGAAUGGUCAGAACCCAAUGUGCUUUUAUUCAUUCAUUCAACAAAUAUUUGUGGCCAUGUAUAAUGUAUCAGGUGCUGUAUUUACUGUACUUCAUGCCAGGAAAGCAACAGAGAAGAAAACAUACCCAGUCCAGUCCCUGACCUCAUGUCAUUUACAAUCUCGGCUAAUCAAGUUCACAAAUAAAUAAUUCCAAAUCAUGAUGGGAGUGAAGCCAUAGAGGAUAAGAGGGCUCGGGGUGGUGAUCAGAGGUCUCUGAGGCAAUGAUCUGGAAGCUGCCACCUACAAGAUAAAGAGUAAGCAAGAUAGAGACAGCAGGAAUGAGCUCUCCGACGGAGGGCAUGAACAGCAAGUGCAAAGGCCCUGCGACUCGAAAGAGCAUGAAAGACUGAGGAAGCGGCCAGUGUGGCUCCAACACAGUGGAGGAGUGGGGGGAUCCUACUGAGAUAGAGGCCCUGGUAAGGAUGUAGAUUUUUGUUGUUGUUGUUGUUCCUAGGAGCAGUGGCGAGUACUGAAGGAUUUUAAAGUGGUUUGAUCUGGUUUGUGUUUCUGUUCCUGGGAGAGAAAACCCAUGGAUGGCAGUGGGGGCGGGGCAGGAGGCCAAUUAGAAGCCAGGAUGAUGUCUUGCUGUUGUUCCCCAUCCUGUUCCCAAUGCCCAAUUUUGCCUGCCUCUUCCCCACCAGGGCUGAAUAAUUCUCAUCCUUCAAGGCCCAACUCCAGCCAAUGGCACCGACCUCCUGGACCUGCUAGGCAGAAGUGGUGGCUCCCUCUCAGCUGACCCCAGAGCACUUCCUUAGCUCCUGCUGAUCUCAGAGCACACACACCAAUCCACUCUGGCCACUCAGCAAUUUUUCUUGAUGGCCCUGGCAUGGCACCUAUGCUGGGGUCAGACCCUCAACCAGCCCUUCAGUGUUGAAAUGCACAACCUCAGCCCUCUAGCCUCAGCGGAGGAAGCAGGGCUCUUCAGUUUGGGAGAACGAGCUGGCUCCUCCACAGCUCUCAGGAAUGACAGUAAACACAGACGGCCCUGCAUGUAUUCCGGCUGUGGCAGCCUUCCUCCUGGGCUGCACAUCAGGCUAACAAGCCCAGCCCUCAGCUUCACAGGGAUUGGAGAGCUGGUGACCCUAGUCAAGGAAGCUGGUGACCCUGGAUCAGUUGCCUCCCCUCUCUGUGCCUAAAUCCCCCACCCCACUUCUGUCAAUUAGGAGGAUGAUGCCUUCUUCAAAGUGUUGUCAUAAAGAUUAAAUCCUUAUUAAAGUCUGUUUUUGUUUUUGUUUCUGUUUUUUUUUGAGACAGUCUCACUCUGUCGCCCAGGCUGGAGUGCAUCUUGGCUCACUACAACUUCCACCUCCCAGGUUCAAGUAAUUCUCCUGCCUCACCCUCCCUAGUAGCCAAGAUGACAGGCACGUGCCACCACACCAGCUAAUUUUUUUUUUGUAUAUAUGUGUAUAUAUAUAUAUAUAUUUUUUUUUUUUGUUUAUUUGUUUGAGACAGAGUCUUGCUCUGUCACCUAGGCUAGAGUGGAUCUCGGCUCACUGCAACCUCUGCCUCCCAGGUUCAAGCAAUUCUACUGCCUCAGCCUCCCAAGUAGCUGGAAUUACAGGCACCCACCACCACAUCUGGCUAAUUUUUUGUAUUUUUAGUAGAGACAGGGUUUUGCCAUGUUGGCCAGGCUGGCCUCGAACUCCUGACCUCAGGUGAUUCACCCGCCUCGGCCUCCCAAAGUGCUGGGAUUACAGGUGUGAGCCAUCGCGCCCCUCCUGAUUUUUUAUAUUUUUAGUAGAGAUGGGGUUUCACCAUGUUGACCUGGCUGGUCUCAAACUCCUGACCUCAAGUGACCCACCCCGCUCAGCCUCCCAAAGUGUUGGGAUUACAGGCAUGAGCCGCCACACCUGGCCCUUAUUAAAGUUCUGAUCACACCUGGCCCAGUCCCUGACAUCCUUCAGCAAUGUUAGUUCUGCUUCCUCCUGCCCCUGCCCAGGGCGAGGGCCCCCCAGCUGCGUGAUGGACUCUGGAAGGGCAAGUGCAAAUUAAAGAUGAGAUGCUUAAUUCUUCCCACUGAAAAUAAGGGAAGAGACCUUCCCCUUCUUCCUUUUCUACUUCAAAAAUUUUAGCUGUAUGUAAAUCACACUCCAUCCUCCGGUGUUCUGGAAGAAGGUGGGCCUGACUGCAGCUGUCCUCUGACUCCACAAGCAGAACCUCCCUACUGUAAUGGGUUGGAUCCACUUUGCUAUAUGAAAGAGAGGUUUUGUUCUGCCUGCUGUCUCUGUAGUGAGUUGCCCAUCAUGUGCAUCAUAUUCUGGUCCAAUGCUUACUUGAUAACACAAUUGUUUUCCUUCACUUCUACUUUCGUAGGGAAGUUUUCUGAGAGAAGAUUUUGUUUUUCAUUUUAAUUCCCCAGUAGCUCCCAUAAGACAGGGAGAGAUGAACUCCACUCCCAUCUGUCUUGUGUGGAAAUGGUUUCAGACUUCUCUGCUGGCUUCUUUAGUUGGAGAGUGGGCUGGGCAGCGGGGCUGAGAGCUGUUAAGGGUUGAGGGCUGGGGGAAGGCAUGUUUUCCAGCACUUUCCCUCUAACAAACCCUGCAGAAGGAUAACACACAGGAAGGGCCCUUACUUCCUGGAAUAAUGCUUCACAAAUAAAAAAAUUAGUAUACUUUCAUAAUAAUAGCUCUUUUCUUUCUUUCUUUCUUUUUUUUUUGAGACAGAAUUUCGCUCUUGUUGCCCAGGCUGGAGUGCAAUGGUGCAAUCUUGGCUCACCGCAACCUCUGCCUCCUGGGUUCAAGCUAUUCUCCUGCCUCAGCCUCCUGAGCAGCUGGGAUUACAGGCAUGGGCCACCACACAUGGCUAAUUUUGUAUUUUUAGUAGAGAUGGGGUUUCUCCAUGUUGGUCUGGCUGGUCUCGAACUCCUGACCUCAGGUGAUCUGCCCACCUUGGCCUCCCAAAGUGCUGGGAUUACAGGCGUGAGCCACCGCGCCUGGUCAAUGAUAGCUCUUUUCUAAUUCACAGAAACCCACUGGAAAGUGAGGUCAAACCACUUUAUACAACAGACCAAUGUUAGUUAAGCAUAAAAAUGCUGGUAACAGUAAUAAUCACGGCCUGCCUGGUAAAACUCACGAAUCCUUUUCAAACAGACCCUGCUUGGAAUUAUAAUUAUUAAUAUCAAAAUAAAUUUGAAAGUAUAAGUAAUACCAAUGUCUUAACAAUACACUCUCAAGUGACCUUUUUUUAGUGCAUCUCAGAUGCCCAGCAGCGAAGUAUUUACACUUGCUGUUUUACUUAAUUUUACAACAAUUCUAAUACAAAUGGAGUGCGUUAUUGUUUUCCAUUUUGUUCUGAUGAGGAAACAGGCCCAGAGAGAUGGCAGGUACACAGCUAUUAAAAGUUGGGUAUAGAAGCUGGGAGCAGUGGCUGACGCCUGUAAUCCCAGCACUUUCGGAGGCCGAGGAGGGCGCAUCAAUUGAGGUCAAGAGUUCGAGACCAGCCUGGCCAACACAGUGAAACCCCCGUCUCUACUAAAUAUACAAGACAAUUACCCGGGUGUGGUGGUGCACGCCUGUAAUUCCAGCUACUCAGGAGGCUGAGGUGGAAGUAUCUCUUGAACCAGGAGGCUGAGGCUGCAGUGAGCCGAGAUCACGCCACCACCACGCUAGGCAAAAGAGCGUCUCAAAAAAAAGAGUGGGGUACGACCUAACACAUUCAAAUUAUUCUUCUUCUAGGAGAAAGCAUAAUGUAUGAGAUAUUGUUUGGUUUAAAAGUGAAAUGAUAUGGAUUUGAGGAUUCGAGGGUGGAACAAUUCAUAUUUCGAGAAGCUGAAGACAGACAUUCUGUUUUCCUGAAGGUGUUAAAGGGAAGUUUAUCUUGGGAAUGUGUUUCAGCUUAAUCUGCCCAGCAUUUGACACCAUUUGGUAGAGGGAGGAAGCCCCCACUCCUAGCGCAGUUCUGAUCUCCCUGAAAUGUUUGAAAUCCCUCCCGGUCGCUUAAGCUCCUUCAUCAGUUUUCAUCAUGCACACAGAUAAUAAGAACUUGUUUCUCAGCCUUUUAUCUUUACAUCUUUGUUUCCAAAUGCCUGUGUUCCCAGGCCUUCUCCUUUUUUCCACAGAGAUAACUGCCCCAUGGUCGUGUGCAAUGCAGCUAGUGGGUCCUGGGAGGGCGUAACGUUUCUCAAAAAUAAUUGCCUAAUCUUGAACUUUGGGGCAGGACAUUAUAGAUAAGAGCCUCCGGGUAAGAAGACUUUUUUUAAAAAACAUCCAAACCUUGAUCUACUGAAGUUCAGAUCACUUUAUUUAUUUAUUUAUUUAUUUUAAGGGAGAGUCUCACUCUGUCACCCAGGCUGGAGUGCAGUGGUGCGAUCUCUGCUCACUGCAGCCUACGCCUCCCAGGUUCAAAGUGAUUCUCAUGCCUCAGCCUCCCCAGCAGCUGGGAUUACAGGUGCUUGUCACCAUGCCCAGCUAAUUUUUGUAUUUUUAAUAGAGGCAGGGUUUCACCAUGUUGGCCAGGCUGGUCUCAAACUACUGACCUCAGGUAAUCUACCCGCCUUGGCCUGUCAAAGUGCUGGGAUUACAGGCGUGAGCCACUGCACCCGGCCCAGAUCACUUUAAAGUGUAUCAUGUGCUUUGGGGCUACUGAGGAGACAGCUCAGCUGCACCUGUUCUUUGAUUUCAAACUGCACCUGUUCUUUGAUUUCUUCGGGAAUCCUCAGCUAUUCUAGCCCUUGGCUCAACCUCCUUCUUCCCUUUAGUGAUGCAAAACCUGAGUUCCCCAGGGAAGAAUGUGUGCCUUGAAAUGGAGUGUCAAGAGCGCUGCAAGAAUUCCUCAGCUAAUAUUCACAAUCGCCGAAAGGGGGAAACAACCCAAUGUCUAUUGAUUGGUGACCAGAUAAACCAACUGUGGUCCAUCCUGUCCAUGGAAUAUUUGCUCAGCCAUGAAAAGGGAGAAAGCACUGAAACACGCUACAGCUCGGAUGAGCCUGGAAAACGUUAUGUUAAGUGAAGGAAGCCAGCCACAAAAUGCCACAUAUUGAAUGAUAAUUCCAUUUACAUGAGACAGGCACUUACAUGGGGACCCUCGGUGCUAUGAAGGACAUUCCAGACCUCAAGGCAAGCUGGGAAGGAAGGUGUGAACUGCACUUGUGUGAAUGUGCCUCCUAAGCCACAUUCUCUUUUUUUCCCAUAGCCUUGUUCUCCUACCUUCAAAUUCUAUAACGUUUGAGGACGGAAUGACAUAUUUUAGAGAUUCUUCUCUGAAAACUUGCCCCACCCUAGGCCUGAGUGAAGGGCAGCCAUGUUUUUGCCACAUGCCAAGUUCCCUUCUGCCACCCCUGCCCCAGCCACAGGUAACUGGCUCAGGGGUGGACACCAGACUCAGAGACAGCUCAUCCACUGGUGGGUGAUCUGGGCUGACAGAAUGGUUGGACCAGGGGUGAUGGUGGUGGGGGCUGGGCUGGGCAGCCCCAAAGUUUAGGGAUGAGGAGGUCAGAUUUAACUUAUACAAUCCAUGAGGCAGGAGAGAGAACCAGGAAAAGUAGCUAAACAACAGGCCUGUGGACCCAUGAAAGCCAGAGUGAGCAGCUUUUACCCUAGCUUUUCCCAGACUUGGGGAGGCCUGGCAGCCCCUGGUCCUGCCCUUGGCUGUGCCUGAGAUUAAUUGCCACAGCCUUACAACACCCCCUCCCUUCUGCCUUUACUUAGCCAGUUUAAGUAGAUUUUCUGUGCCUUACGGUGAAAUAGCCUUGACGAACUUAAUAGGAACCAAAAUGUCGAAAAACAGUGCAGGAAGGUCCUUGUUGUAUUUGGGAAGAGAGGAGAAUUAUCACACAAUUUUGGACUUUGUUUGGAAAAUGUGUAAAGUAUUUUAAAAACUGAAGGAGUCCCAUUAAAAGAAAAGAGUAAAAAUAUAAAUUAUUAAGCUUCGUAGCAAGCAGAGAAAAAAAGGAGCUAUCUAAAAAAGAAGUAAUAUGAAAACCUCUCCAUUCAACUGCAAACACAAAAGGGGAAAAGCAAAGCAAAGUCAAAAUGUAAAUAUUAGAAAUAAAUCCAAAUACAUCAGCAAUCACAAUAACUAACUGGAUUAGACCUAUUAAAAGACAGAGAUGAUAAAACUAUACUUUUAAAAACUUUAAUGAGGCUGGGAGCGGUGGCUCAUGCCUGUAAUCCCUGCACUUUGGGGGGCUGAGGUGGGUGGAUCAUCUGAGGUCAGUAGUUCGAGACCAGUAUGGCCAUCAUGGCAAAACCCCAUCUUUACUAAAAAUGCAAAAAUUAGCCGAGCGUGGUGGCGGGUGCCUGUAAUCCCAGCUACAAGGGAGGCUGAGGCAGGAGAAUCACUUGAACCUGGGAGGCAGAGGUUGCAGUGAACUGGGAUUGCACCACUGCACUCCAGCCUGGGUGACAGAGCGAGACUCCGUCUCAAAAAAACAAAAAUUAAUGAUAUGUUGUUCACAAAAGACACACUUAAAAUCUAUCAGCAAGUUUGAAAAUAAUGGGAUGGAGAGAAAGUUAUACUCUGUGCUGUAGACUGAAUGUCUGUUUCUGUUCCAGAUUCAUAUUUGAAAUCCUAAUCCCCAAUGUGAUGCUAUUAGUGUGUAGGGCCUUUGGGGCAUAAUUAGGUCAUGAAGGUAGAACCUUCAGGAAUGGGGUUAGUGCCCUUGCAGAAGAGGCCCCAGUGAGCUCCCUCACCUUUUUUUUUUACCAUGAAGGGAUAAAGAUACACUUUCACUGUGUCACACAGUGAAAAGGCAGCAGUCUAUGAGACAGAAGGUGGGCCUUCCCCAGGCACUGAAUCUGCCCACACCUUGACCUAGGACUUCCCAGCCUUCAGGACUGUGAGUAAUGGGUUUCCAUUGUUUAUAAGCUACCCAGUCUAUGGGAUUUUAUUAUAGCAGCCCAAAUGGACUAAGACACUGUACAAAUUUAAGCCCAAGGAAGACUGGAGGUAGCAAUGUUAAUAUCAUUAAAAGUGGAAUUUCAGCUAAACGGCACUAAUAAGGCUAAAGAAAGAUAGCACAUUUUAAAUGUAGGGGUUUUUCCGCCCUCCCUUCUCUCUUUCCCUUUAUGCUCAUUUGUCUCUGGCUAGAGAUUUGCCAGUUGGCUUCACCUAGCUUUGGAACAGCAUUGCGGGCUCCUGCUCCCUGGGGAAAGACUGCAUCCUUAACACCCCCUGGAAACCUGCCUUCCACUCCCAGCUUAUCCCAAUGUUUGUGCUCAUAUUUCACUGGUCACUACUAUGUGUUUGCAGCAGAGGAAGCAAGAAAAGAUGUAACCAGUUGCCCUCCUCUGCACUCUCUGUCACACUCAUCACCUUCCUAAACAAAUGUUCCCAAAUGACCUUCGGCUGUUCCUCCCUUCCUCAAUUGCUCUCUCAUUUCAUCCCUCUCACAAAAUCCACCAUCAAAUCCACUUCCCUAGCGCCGCCACUGAGAACAUUUCAAAGAAUAUCUUUUAAGCUCUGAAGUCAAGUUUCAAAGGCAGACUCAGGCAAGGUAGCAUUGUUAGAAUAAAUGGGUGGUCAGUCAUUUGGAUGUAGGAGUCUAUGUGUGAGGGUCUAAACACAAAUUGAGGCUGGGCGCAGGGGCUCAUGCCUGUAAUCCCAACACUUUGGGAGGCUGAGGCUGGUGGGUUGCUUGAGCAAAUAAUAAAAAUUUAAAAAAUAAAACGGGGCUGGGUGCAGUGGCUCACGCCUCUAAUCUCAGCACUUUGGGAGGCCACAUGGGUGGAUCACCUGAGGUCAGGAGUUUGAGACCAGCCUGGCCAACAUGAUGAAACCCCGUCUCUACUAAAUAUACAAAAAUUCGCUGGGCGUGGUGGCGGGUGCCUGCAAUCCCAGCUACUUGGGGGGCUGAGGGAGGAGAAUCUCUUGAAUCCUGGAGGCGGAGGUUGCAAUGAGCUGUGAUUGCACCACUGCACUCCAGCCUGGGUGACAGGGCGAGACUCCAUCUCAAAAAAAAAAAAAAAGCAAUGGGAUGUGCACACACACAACUAAACAAAUUGCAUCACUUUAUAAUCACGUCUAAGAUAUCCGAGGAGGGAAAAGAAGAGGAUUCUACGUCCUAUUGCAAUAUCAAGGGAAACGGAGGCACCUGGAAAUGCCUCUCUACCUGGAAUUCUUGCCAGAAAGGGUCCACAUUUCUUGCCUCUCACCCCAUCUAUGUGAUGCAGCUCCAGCUCCGGGCAGAGGGAGACCUUCUGGGAGCUGCUGGGGGUGUUUGUGUCUGAGCAGCGGGAGCUGGUCUGCACCUCACUCAGCCCUUGUUCUCCAUGAAUCCUUGACAGGAGAUGAAUCCAAGGCUCACCUGUAAGAUCCAGACAGGACAAAUCUCCAGUCCGAGAUGAUGAACUUCUCCCGGAUUUGGCCAGCGAAUUUCCUGCCUGACUUGGCACAGUAUAUCUCUCCUUCCACACUCCGGAUGGAAAUGUUCUGUUGGAGGGAAAGUCAAGGUGUCACUUCCUAAUUCUGUUUAUAGAGAUACAUUUGGGCUUUAGGCUGGAUGUUUAUGUUCCCUUUACCCCCAUUCUGUGUUGAAACCUAAUCCCCAGGGUGACGGUACUAGAAGGUGGGGCCUUUGGGAGGAGAUUAGGUCAUGAAGAUGGAGUGCUCAUGAAUGGGAGGAGUGCCUUAUAAAGGAGGCCUAGAGAUCUGCCUCACUCCUUCUGCCAUGUGAGGACACAGCAAGAAGACAGCCAUUUAUAAGCCAGGAAGUGGGCUUCACCAGACGCCGAAUCUGCCAGAACGUUGAUCUUGGAGUUCCCAGCCUCUAGAACCAUGAGGAAUAAAUUUCUGUUGUUAUGAACCACCAGUCUAUGGACUUCUGUUAUAGCAGCUGUGAUGGACUAAGACAAUUUGUGCAUGAAAAUGUCUGGUAGAAUGUUCAUCAAGAUGGAAAUGUGUUAUCUCUGGUUGGUGGGAUUCUGGACCAUAUUAAUAUUUUCCCUGGGCUGAAUUGUCUAAAUUGUCUUCACUGUCCUGGCAUCAGCUGGCAACAAAAAAAAAGGAAGGUGGUAGAAUUCAAAUAAGGCAGCAAAUAAAAGAAAAGCAAGGGCCUAAUGCCUAUGGAGCCCCGAGUCUAGGCCCCCAUGAGCCACAGGUGGCCUGGCAGUUACUUGGAGGCAAGCCCAGCCCUGCCUUGUAAGUGGCUUGACCUGAGUCCCUGACCCUAAGCUGUUCAGAGGGAAGGCUCGGUGCAGCCAGAGGAGGUGGUUUUGUGGAGGUAGCAAUAGACCCUGUAUUGUCUUAAGCAAAGGUGAGUCUGCAACCCUACCAUGGCUCUAUUUAUCCCUUGUCUUCCCUGUAGCACCUGCUGCUCCCGCCGUACAGCUGGAAGGCUGGAGAAAUGGAAGAGUGGGUAAAGUGUGGGAGUCUCAGGGUUAAGGCUGAGGGAGGUGGAAUACUGUCUGGAUUCCUCAAAAGACUGCUGGUGGCUUGGCAGGUCCUGGGAAGGGCAGUCCUGCCUCCAGCCGCUUCCCCUGGGCUUCUCCAUAGCUCUGUGAGAUCUUGAGAGGAGGGACACCAUUGUCCUAUGGUGAGCAGAGUACUGUCAGGUGUGGCCAGCAUAGGCCAUGAAAGCAAGGCCAGUUCUGACACUUCUGACCUGUUUCAAUGGCCUCGUGCCAAGGAGGUAUGAUCUACGUCAUGCCAAACAGACCAGCAGCCAGAGGUCCCAAGGCCUGUGGCAGCAGGAGGCAGCACUGAACUCAGCUGCAUCUGUGCAGAGGGGAAGGGAGGGAGGGAGGAGGCUUCAUUCUUAUCUGGGAGGUUCUCCCAGAGGACAGAACCUCUCUUGCCUGAACUAGAGGAGACUGAUCAAAAGAACUCUGAGGGCCACCAAUCAGCUGUUCACCCAGGCCUACUCAUGAAAGCUAUGGGUGGUGUUCACAUUUGAAUUAGUUGUCCUCAAAUUUAUGUGAUGAAUCAAACCCUUAUCGCUGGGUUUCUUUUCUCUUUGCCAGGAGAGGGAAGUACGGGGUUCAGUUAAGUCCAAGAGGAUCAAUGUCUUGUUGGGACCAGGGAGUUCUGAACAUGCACCCACAGACCCUGGAGGUUGCCUGCCCUGUAAGAUGCAAUCCCUGGGCUUCCCCAGCUGAGAGGAGAACUGGAGUACAUGGCAGAGAUGCUGCUCACCAGAUACCCAUGACCCUUUACAUUUCCCAGCAUCCGUGCAUCUGGGUAAGGUCAAUGAGUUAUAAGAGAAAGCGAUGGAAAUCUCCUCCAGGUCAGAUCCUGGAAACAUCCUGCAGAGUCUCCCAGCCUUCUCUUUCCCUGUCAUGGUUAUCUUAGAGGCCGUGUAUUUCUCAUGAUGUAGCUACAAUAUGGAGGAGGGCCAUCUGACCUACAUAGGAGUUUGUUUGAGCAAGAAAUGAACCUUUAUUGUGUUAAGCUAUUAACACAAGAUGAGGGACAUUUGUUACUAUUGCAUAGACUAUCCUAUCUGGGCUAAUAUGAGUACCCUUAGGACUCUCAUUGGGGCCCCUACCUUGAGGUGACUGUCAGAGAUCUGGACUUUGUCACACAUCUCCUGGAAGAGCUUCACACCUCCCUGGUCCAGGAGCACACAAACGAAC
rnacentral:lncRNA from 1 species